rnacentral:rRNA from 1 species
UAUCCCCUCAGUCCUGCGGCUCACAUUCACCUCUCUCUCAACGCCGGUCGCCGCCUAGAUGUGUCACCUGACUUGCCACCGUCCUCCACUCUCGUCUCAGAUUUGACCCCAAAGUCAAGCGGCAGGCAGCAGCAGCAGGUUCCCGUGUCGCCAUGAGCUGGAUGGGGAAGCGGGGGUUGGGUGGGGAGAGCCCGCACUGGCGGAGAAGAUGGACGAGGACUGGCGGCCUCGGAGCUACUGGCGGCCCCGGAGGUACCUCGCCGCCGCGUCCAGUUCGACCCUGCCUCCUGCAAGCAUGGCGACUUCUUCGACACCGUCUGGGCGGGCCACGACCUAACCACGCCCAAUCUCUUCAGCAGCCUCCUACUCAUGUUGGCCAGUAUUUGUUGUGCCUUAUAAUCUUCCACCAGAAAUGUGCAUGAAGCAGAGUAACCUGAUCCUUGCACUAGUUAUUCUCGGUCCAGAUCAUCCAGGAAAGAACCCUAUAUGUGGAUCUGACAUAAAGACAUUCUCAUUGAAGAAUGGGAGAAAACCAUGCUGGUUUGACUGCCAUAGGAGAUUCCUUCCCACUGACCAUGCAUUUCGUAGGAGUGUGAAAUGUUUUCGCAAGAAAAAAACAGUUUUAGAUCCUCCACCAAAGCCCUUGUCCGGAGAACAGGUGUAUGAAGAACUCCAAAGUCUUGUCCAUGAUGAAACUGGCAAGAGUAAAUUUGAGGGGUUUGGGAAGGAGCACAAUUGGAUAGCUAUAAGUGGUUUGUGGCAGCUAGAGUAUUUUCAGAAGUUGCUGCUUCGCCAUAACAUUGAUGUAAUGCACAAUGAGAAAAAUGUAUCUGAGGCUUUACCAAAAACAUGCCUUGAUAUUCCUGAGAAAACUAAGGAUAGCAACAAAGCACGCCUUGAUGUUGCUUUGUAUUGUGAUCGACCAAAGCUACACCUGAACAAGAAUUCAAGGGGUGUGUGGAAGAAACCUAGAGCGAAAUAUUGUGUCAGCAAGGAAGAUAGAAUGACCAUCCUUAAGUGGUUUAAAGAAGUGAAGUUUUCUGAUGGGUUUGCUGCUAAUUUGAGUAAAACUGUCAACUUGAGUAAAAACAAAUUCAUUGGGCUGAAAAGCCAUGACCACCACAUCAUCAUGGAGCGCCUCCUGCCAGUUGCCCUAUGAGGCUUCAUCCCAGAACCUGAAUGGAAGGUCAUAGCAGAGUUAAGUUUUUUUUAUCGGCAAUUGUGUGCCAAAGAAAUUGCUCCAAAACGGAUGCGUGAACUUGAGGAGGAGGUUCCUGUUCUAUUAUGCAAGCUUGAGAAAAUGUUCCCACCAGGCUUCUUCAAUGUAAUGCAACACCUGAUAGUGCAUCUUCCAUAUGAGGCAAGGGUUGGCGGCCCUGUGGCAUAUCGUUGGAUGUAUGUUUUUGAGAG